rnacentral:rRNA from 1 species
AAGGGAAUCUCUGGCAAUGGACGAAAGUCUGACCGAGCAACGCCGCGCGAGUGAAGAAGGUUUUCGGAUCGUAAAACUCUCUUGUUAGAGAAGAACAAGGACGUCAGUAACUGAACGUCCCCUGACGGUAUCUAACCAGAAAGUCACGCCUAACUACGUUCCAGCAGCCGCGGUAAUACGUAGGUGGCAAGCGUUGUCCGGAUUUAUUGGGCGUAAAGCGAGCGCAGGCGGUUUCUUAAGUCUGGUGUGAAAGCCCCCGGCUCAACCGGGGAGGGUCAUUGGAAGCUGGGGGACUUGAGUGCGGAAGAGGAGAGUGGAAUUCCAUGUGUAGCGGUGAAAUGCGUAGAUAUAUGGAGGAACACCAGUGGCGAAGGCGGCUCUCUGGUCUGUAACUGACGCUGAGGCUCGAAAGCGUGGAGAGCAAACAGG